CAGGACGAACGCUGGCGGCGUGCCUAACACAUGCAAGUCGAACGGAGAGCAUAUGAAGAUUCGGUACGGAAUGCGUCUAGUGGCGAACGGGUGAGUAACACGUGGGCAACCUGCCCCAGACUGGGGGAUAACAUUGUGAAAACAGUGCUAAUACCGCAUGACAGGGUUCCGGGCAUCCGGGACUCUUGAAAAGGAGAAAUCCGGUCAGGGAUGGGCCCGCGUCCAAUUAGCUAGUUGGUGGGGUAACGGCCCACCAAGGCGACGAUUGGUAGCCGAACUGAGAGGUUGAUCGGCCACAUUGGGACUGAGACACGGCCCAGACUCCUACGGGAGGCAGCAGUGGGGAAUAUUGGGCAAUGGGCGAAAAAGCCUGACCCAGCGACGCCGCGUGAAGGAUGAAGGUCUUCGGAUUGUAAACUUCUUUGAUCAGGGAAGAAAGAAAUGACGGUACCUGAAAAACAAGCCACGGCUAACUACGUGCCAGCCGCGGC
rnacentral:rRNA from 1 species